UUCCAUCACAAGUGAUCGGAUAUAGUUCCCUGGCCUAUACAGCAGGAUCUCAUUGCUUAUUCAUUUUGUUAAACAAGGUGAAGGUAGCCUGGUCCUCUGAGGGGAUGGGGGCUGAAGGUGAAGCGUGGAAAGGCUCCGCACCACACAAACCUUCCAGCCAGGACUCCUGCCCCUUCCUGACUACCACACACCCCAGGUCAGUUCCAGGAAGACAGAUGCCCAGCUCUGCUGAGCGCAGGUGGAGAACCUGUGAUCCUGUUAUUUCUUUUGGGGGGUUUGAAGGUUAGCUUCGGGGGAAAAAAAAAAAAUGAAGCCUUAAAGUUUACUGAUUUUUAUGGGGGUUCUUUCAUGGCCUAGCAGGUGAAGGCGCCUGUGUUUUCACCACUGUGGCUCUGGUUGCUGCUGUGUGGAGCAGGUUCAAUCCCUGGCCCGGGAAUUUCCACAUGUUGCAUGUGUGGCAAAAAUAAAAAAACAAGAGAGAACCUGAAAUAAAUGUUGCAAUUCUCAUUAAAGUUUACUGAUUUUACUCUUUUUAACACUGACUAUAGGUCUUUGUCUUAACUGUAUCAUCUCUGAGUCUAAUCAAAUAGCUUAUUAAAGUAAAAGGUCCCAAUCCACCAAGUGCUCCUAAAACAACCCCUGCAGGAUUUUUUUUUUUUUUUUUUUUUAACCGCCACCCCUGUGGCGUAUGGAAAUUUCAGGCUAGGGGUCAAAUUGGAGCGGCAGCCACACACCACAGCUACAGCAAUGCCAGAUCCAAGCCUCAUCUGCAACCCACACCACAGCUUACGGCAAUGCCGGCUCCUUAACCCAGUGAGCAAGACCAGGGAUCGAACCCACAUCAUCAUGGAUAGUAGACAGGUUCUUAAACCCACUGAGCCACAAUGGGAACUCCUAGUCCUGCAUGAUUUAAACAACCUUGCAGCCUUCCCCCCAAAAGCAAAAACAAACGCCCUGCCCUUUGUAUUUCCCAAAAUACAGGAAACGAGAAACACCCGGGCUGCAUUUCAGCUGUCAGGACGGGCAAAAGGUUCAUCAUGGGAGGACUGACCACAGGGUCAUGGCUAGGAGGUUGCAGGAGUCCUUCCUGAUUUCUGACCUGAGCUGGCUGGCGGGGCCAGCUGGCACAUGGGUUACGGUGUCUGUCACUGACACAGCUGAAAUGGAUGAAUGCAGGACUCCAGCCAGAGCAGAUGGCUGUGGGUAAAUGUUAAUGAAUGUGAAAUGACACCAGAUGAUCAUGAGUGACUGAUGGACGGGACGGGGGAAAUAACGGGGAAAAUGACAUAGGAAGUAAAUAAUGAGCCCAUCCUUCUCUUCUGAGGAGUUGACACAUCUUCAGUUUUCUUCUCCUUCUGUCAAAACCUUUACUCUUUAUAGGGAAAAGGAUUUCCAUGGCGAGAGGAGGAAGCAGUAUACACACAUCACAUUCCUACUGGUCCCGGUUCCUGCCUGACCUAGGCAGAGUGACACAGGCCACCCUCUCCAUGAGGUCAGUCACCAACAUGGGCACCCCGGCUGGCUCCUACUGCAGACCUCUCCACCUCCUCCCGCGCAGCUCCCUCUUUCCAGGAGCUCCUCCAACCAGAGAAUCGAACCUCUACCCACUCUCUACAGGGUCCCGCAUUCUAGCCCAAAAAGUACAGACCCUUGUGCAAGAGCUCAUCUCACAGUCAACUCAGCACCUGCAAAACUGAACCUCUUAUCUUCCCCAGAAACCACCUCCAAGCUUCCCAUGUUUGUUCUUCCAGAAGCUCAGGUACCUCUGACUCCUCUCAACUCCUCUUCCCUUGUCUUAGUCCGUUCAGGCGGCUGUAACAAAAAUACCACAGACUGGGUACCUUAAACAGAACCUAUUUCUCACAGUCUGGAAGCUGGGCAGUCCAAGACUGAGGCAGAGAGGUGAGAGCUCUCUGGGUCCCUUUCACGAGGGGCACUAACCUCAUUGAUGAGGGCUCCACCUCUACAACCUACUCAUCUCCCAUGAAGCCACCUCCAAAUACAAUUCCCUUGGGGAUCAGGCUUCAAUAUCUGAAUCUGGGGGGACAGAAACACUCAGCCCAUAGUGUCCCUCUACCCCCAACCCCUGUCAGUCAGCAAGUUUACUCAGUUCUUCCUCUGCCUCUCACCCAGCCACGCCCAUUGUCAGCUCCGCAAGCCAACCUUCAUAGCCUCAAAGACAGCACGAGAUUCCUCACAGGUCCCCCUGCUCUUGGCCUCUCCCCACUGGUAACAUGAUAGGGCCAGGAUCCACAACCAUAGCUGUUUGGCUCCAAAGCAGCUCCCUCUCCUCUUCAAAAAGUACCUAAAGUCUUCCAAUGCCUGUCAUUCAGGGUCUCAAUUCUGGCUUCCUUAAGUCUAACUACCCAAACUUGCCAGACUGUUCCCUCCAUUCAAACAAGUGACAUCCUCACCCCCCAUUAAAUGUCUGAUACAUUUGCUUUGGGCUCCAUUAUUCUGCCCACGUAAAAAGACCUUCCUAGUCCAAUGCUUAUGUAAAUCUUGUCUCUAGGAGCAACCUGGUGGCUCAGCAGGUUAAAGAUCCAGUGCUGUCACUGCUGUGGCAGUGAGUUCGAUCCCUGGUCUGGGAACUUACACAUCCUGCAGAUGCAGCCACUAAAGAAAGAAACAAAUAAAGCUUAUUUCUUUCAUGAACAAGUUCAAAUUGUACCUCCUAAAUUUCUAUAGCAAUUGCUCAAGAGUUAUUUAGCAGUGAAGGGCUAUUACUAUGACAUCCAUUAUAGAUGUAAUUGCUCAGAAUAAGGACUCCUCAUAGACUGCUAAUGGAAGAACAGAUUGGCAGUUCCUUACAGGGCUGAACAUAAAAUUACCAUUUUUACCAUAGACUCCUAGGUAUCUAUCCAAAAGAAAUGGAAAUACCCAUUCACACAGAAUUGCACAAGAAUGUUCCUAAUAGCCAAAAAGUAAAAACUUGGAUCUUCAUCAUCGGAUGAAUGCAUAAAAUGUGGAAUAUCCACACAAUGGAAUACAAUGCAAGAAUUAAAAAGGAUCAAACUGGGAGUUCCCGACGUGGCGCAGUGGUUAACGAAUCCGACUAGGAACCAUGAGGUUGCAGGUUCGGUCCCUGCCCGUGCUCAGUGGGUUAACGAUCUGGCGUUGCCGUGAGCUGUGGUGUAGGUUGCAGACACGGCUCAGAUCCCGCAUUGCUGUGGCUCCAAUUCGACCCCUAGUCUGGGAACUUCCAUAUGCCGCGGGAGCGGCCCAAAGAAAUAGCAAAAAGACAAAACAAAACAAAAAAAAGGAUCAAACUGGAGUUCCCAUUGUGGCUCGGUGGUAACAAACGCCACUGUUAUCCAUAAGGACAUGGGUUUGAUCCCUGGCCUCCCUCAGUGGGUGAAGGAUCCAGUGUUGCUGGAGCUGUGAUGCAGGUCACAGACAUGGCUCAGAUAUGGUGUUGCUGUGGCUGUGGCAUAGGUUGGCAGCUGCAGCCCCAAUUCGACCCCUAGCCUGGGAACUUCCAUAUGCCGUAGGUGUGGCCCUAAAAAAAAAAAAAGGAUCAAACCAUCAAGUUGAAGGAACCUUAAAAACAUUAUGCUAAGUGAAAAGACACAAGGGACCAUAUGCUUUAUCAUCCCAUUCAUAUGAAGUAUCCAGAAAAGGCAAAUUGACAGAGAAGGAAAGUAAAAUAGUGGCUGCCUAGGGCUGGAGUGGGAGUAGGGAUCUUCUGGGGAGAUAAAAAUGUUCUUGAACCAAUUUAUGGUGAUUUAUGGUAAAUCAAAUCACUGAAAUGUAUAUUUGAAAUGAGUCCAUUUUAUACACAAAAUGUACUUCAACAAAGCUGUAAAAUCAUAACAGGUGCUCAAAUGUUAGUUGAGUAUCUAAUUUCUUGCUUUAUUUUUUUUUACUUGUUGGUAUGUUUUGUCACCACCCUCUCCCUUGCAUCUAGACCCUAAUCCUGACAGCAAGACCAAGCCUCCCCUAUAUUAUGCCAACUUUUCAUACAGACUGCACCUGACCUAAAGCUGCAUGUACACUGUGUUCACAACCACUUGUGGAACUGAUUUUGUCUUGUCAGGCUAUGGAGUGAUGCCAUCAAUAGCACCAAGGAAGAAUCAGUGGAUGUGGAUGUAGAGCAGCACAAGUGCAUUUGAGCCCAGUUCCUCCACUUCUGGCCAUGAUCUAAGGGCCUGCUCACUGGGGCCUCUUCUCCAAGUCUAAAAUGGGAAAGGCAGUUCUCUUGCGGCUCAAUGGAUUAAGGAUCUGGCGUUGUCACUGCCGCAGUUCAAGUCUCUGCUGUGGCAUGGGUUUGAUCUCACCCGGGGGAACUUCCACAUGCCACAGACAUGGCCAGAAAUUUAAUUAAGUAACUAAUAAAUUAAACGGGAAAAACUCUGAGAGUGACUUCACAGGGUGGUCAUGAGGCUGAAAUGAGAUGAUCUGGAUAAAAUGUUCAGCCCAGUGCUUAGAGCAUGUGAGAGCUGACUGAAUGUUGGCUUCAAACAUGCACACACAAACCCAAGCACAAGUGCACAUACCAGAGGAAUCUCUUUCAAACAGGAAACAACUCUCAACAACAGAGUAAACAACCAAAGAUGACCUACCCUCCUCUGUCACCUACUAGGCCAGAGUGGCCUGGGACAUCUCUUGCCCCUUCCAAGCCCAAUGAAACUCAUGAUGGCCAGAAAUACUCCUAUUUGUCAUCUAACAAGAGGAACUCAACAGAGCCCACGGUUUUCAACACUCUGUGCACCUGCCCCUCCCUCCUCUCUCACCCUGUCCCACCAUCUCCAUCUCCAUCCAAGUGAGGUAGGGUUUUACCUCCUGGCCCCCUUGGUGUGAGCAGGGCCACAGGUUUACUUCCAACCAAAGAACUGUCACUUCACACGAGAGCGUGUGCCCACAGAGAACUCUCCUCAGCUCCUUCCCUCUCCCCAAGGAACUAACAAACAGCUCCACUGGUGGCUGCUCUGGUGGCUGGGUGAGGAUGACAUGGGUGGACCCCAGCUGACCUACAGUAGACAGGGAGCACGAGGAAGGAUAAACCUCUUCUAGGCGGCUCUUAGGAUUCUUAUCACAACAUAAGAACCUGAUAGAGUCACAAGGCUCUCCGGCUCUAAGCUUAUAUAUUUUAAAUCUCACCUAAAAAAAAAAAAUCUUUCUAAGGAGUUUCAGCUGUAGCUCAGUGGGUUAAGAACUCAACCAGUAGCCACGAGAACGCAGGUUCAAGCCCUUACCUCACUCAAUGGGUUAAGGAUCCGCUAGUGCCACAAGCUGUGGUGUAGUCAGAUUCGUUAACUACUGAGCCACGAUGGGAACUCCAGGAAGAUGAUUUAUUUUUAUUUUAAGGCUUAUUACAGCGAACACCAAGAAAGCAAAUUACUUCCUCCUUAGGGAGAGGUGUGAAGCAUGUUAUCGGUACUUCACCUAGGACAAAUAGUUUAGAGCAAGAAACAAGCACACAGUCACAAAACGAUCUCGGCAGCAACCUGCAUAUUCCUCACAUUUCUUGGCCACUUGUUUAAGUAAAGAUAAAACACUGCCAAAGGAGCUUUCGUUUUUUAUUACAUCCUGGUAAGCAUUACUCACUGUUCAAGUUUAAAAUAGGGCAAAUCCUGGGAACAUCCAUAUGCAGCAAGGGGGUGGGGGGAGAAGGGAAGGAAGGGAAGGAUCCACUAAUUUAUUUCUAUUUCUCUACCCUACUUGAUUUUCUAAAGUAAGAAAAAGCAAUCUAGUGUCCUAAAACUAGAGCCAAGGCUUUUCAACAUUCAGUUAAAAUGCCUUUAACUUCCCAAGCUUUCCUGCACUUUAUACUACACAACUCCCAGUGGCUGCUA
ensembl:lncRNA